GCUUCAUUAUCAAACAGAGGAUUGCUUUCAAUUCCACGGUACAUGUGCUAUGACAAGAUACUAUUUCAUUAAUGCAUUUGUUAAUGCAACCAACAGAGCGACCAGUGGUCAUCGUCUACCCCAGAGAUCAGAAGGGAGACAUUUAUGGCUGCACAGUGGAACAUGAAGCCCUUGAGGAGCCUCUGACCAGAUUUUGGGAGGUUGAUGCAAACACAGUGGAGCCCACUAUGGAUUCAACCAUCUAUUUUGGAUUUGCCUCAGUUUUUGGGCUUCUUGGAGUUGUCACAGGGAUAUUCUUUAUUGUCAAAGGAAAACAUGCAUAACCAAGCUGAAGAACACCUGCAAAUUACUGUGAUAACUUUACAUUGUAGCAAUAAAAAAGGGAAGGAGCAAAAAAUGUACUCUUCUGUAUGUAUUGCACAUAAUUUACUUCAUGUGAUCAAGAAAAACGAUGGAAAGGCCACCACAGAAAAACACUUUCAUCAUGUAGGUGGAGCCCUACUCGUUUGGGUGUCUGAAACUACAUCCUCCAUAUGUUUUCACAAAUAGAAUACAAAAAAACCCAUUUAUAUCUAUUUUCUUUGAUUCUGAUCAUACAGUGCGAUGACAGUAGU